UCCACAAUGUGAACCUAAUAAUUUCAGAAAUAUAAUCGAAGUGCCUAUUUAUUAACAUUUCUAUUGAAUUAUACAAACUGAAAAUUUAUUGAAUGUGUCAGUGCUAAACAUUAAUGCUAAGUGAAGUCUGCACGUCUUCAUUUCAAAUCUGAGAUGAACAUUUUAAGCUUGUUAAAGACUGGAAUACAUCGUACAAAAGUUAACUUCAACCCAAAAAACAAUGAUUUAAUGCUUCAUUAAAAGUUAUGUUACGUUAUUACAAUAAUUGACGUGCAUACUAACCAAAAUUUAAGUAUUUCUUGUGUACGCUCUCAUAGGCUGUCCAUUCGAUGGUCUUGUAGCGACUGCGCUCCUGUCGGCUGCCGUGUUCCGUUUCCAUUUGUUCAUUUGGAUUGCUGCAUAUUUGCGUAAAUUGAGGAAAGCAAUUGUGGGAAAUGAGUUGGGAUGAUGUUUGGCUGGCUGCGUUGGCUGUUGGUUCGAUUCGAUCGACCGCAGACCCAAUCAACACUUACCCGCAGCAGACUGACGAUUUGUUAUAGAGAUCAAGCGUGAACCGUUUGCUGCUUCAUUGCAGCCAACUGAACGCACGUUUGCACAAAAGCAACAACUUUUGCAUAACUCAAAUGCUGAAUUGGACUCCGAAAUGAGAAUUAUUAAGUAUACGCGAGCGAGAGACGCAGCAGCGGAAAUCUUUUUUUCAUUUAUUGAAAGACCAAAACGUAUUCUGAUUAAAUUAUGUAUUCAAUGAUUCUUCUCGUACUUGUAUUCAGCAAUUUAACAAAUAAAUUGU